rnacentral:tRNA from 1 species
AGUUUUAUAGUCAAAAAAUGAUAUUAGACUGCAAUUCUAAAGAUAUAUUUAUUAAAAUAUUAAAACUU